rnacentral:rRNA from 1 species
AAAACACCCCUGUUGGGGUUAAACACCCCCUUUUGAGGGAGGAAAAAAAAGGGGCGGUCCCUCCAAGAAAGAACCCCCGGCCAAAUUUCGGCCCCAGCCCGCCGGUAUAUAUAGGUAGGGGGCCAACUUGUCUCCGGAAUUUUUGGGGCAUAAAGGGUUUGGAAGGCGGCUUAACAAGUCGGCCGGAAAAACCCCGGGGCUCAACCCUGGGACGCCGGUCGAUACUGUCAUGGCUAGGGUCCGGUAGAGGAGAAUGGAAUUCCCGGUGUAGCGGUGAAAUGCGCAGAUAUCGGGAGGAACACCAGUAGCGAAGGCGGUUCUCUGGGCCGGUACCGACGCUGAGGAGCGAAAGCGUGGGGAGCAAACAGGAUUAGAUACCCUGGUAGUCCACGCCGUAAACGUUGGGCACUAGGUGUGGCGUCUUUAUCAACGGAUGCCGUGCCGCAGCUAACGCAUUAAGUGCCCCGCCUGGGGAGUACGGCCGCAAGGCUAAAACUCAAAGGAAUUGACGGGAGCCCGCACAAGCGGCGGAGCAUGCGGCUUAAUUCGAUGCAACCCGAAGAACCUUACCUGGACUUGACAUCACGGGAAAAACCCUGGAAACAGGGUGUGCGUAAGCGUCCGUGACAGGUGGUGCAUGGUCGUCGUCAGCUCGUGUCGUGAGAUGUUGGGUUAAGUCCCGCAACGAGCGCAACCCCUGUCCUAUGUUGCCAGCGAGUUAUGUCGGGGACUCAUAGGAGACUGCCGGGGACAACUCGGAGGAAGGUGGGGACGACGUCAAAUCAUCAUGCCCCUUAUGUUCAGGGCUGCACGCAUGCUACAAUGGUCGGUACAACGGGCCGCGAUCCCGCAAGGGUGAGCCAAUCCCCCAAAGCCGGCCUCAGUUCGGAUUGGAGGCUGCAACUCGACUCCAUGAAGUCGGAGUCGCUAGUAAUCGCAAAUCAGCAAAGUUGCGGUGAAUGCGUUCUCGGGCUUUGUACACACCGCCCGUCACACCACGGAAGUAGGCAACGCCCAAAGUCAGUGGCCCAACUCUUCGGAGAGGGAGCUGCCUAAGGCGGGGUCUGUGACUGGGGUGAAGUCGUAACAAGGUAACCGUA